GAGACAGCAGUAGCCGCGGUAAAACAGAGGGUGCGAGCGUUAAUCGGAUUUACUGGGCGUAAAGCGUGCGUAGGCGGUUUGUUAAGUCAGAUGUGAAAUCCCCGGGCUCAACCUGGGAACUGCAUCUGAUACUGGCAAGCUUGAGUCUCGUAGAGGGGGGUAGAAUUCCAGGUGUAGCGGUGAAAUGCGUAGAGAUCUGGAGGAAUACCGGUGGCGAAGGCAGCCAUCUGGCCUAAUACUGACGCUGAGGUACGAAAGCAUGGGGAGCAAACAGGAUUAGAUACCCGUGUAGUCCCUGUCUCUUAUAC
rnacentral:rRNA from 1 species